rnacentral:tRNA from 1 species
AUGUUUUUAGUUUAAAUAAAAAUAUUAGAUUGCAAAUUUAAAGAUGAUAAUAUGAUUCGAAACAUUAUAUAUA